rnacentral:rRNA from 1 species
GGCAGCAGUGGGGAAUCUUCGGCAAUGGGGGGAACCCUGACCGAGCAACGCCGCGUGAGUGAAGAAGGUUUUCGGAUCGUAAAGCUCUGUUGUAAGAGAAGAACGUUGAGUAGAGUGGAAAGUUACUCAAGUGACGGUAUCUUACCAGAAAGGGACGGCUAACUACGUGCCAGCAGCCGCGGUAAUACGUAGGUCCCGAGCGUUGUCCGGAUUUAUUGGGCGUAAAGCGAGCGCAGGCGGCUCUGUAAGUCUGAAGUUAAAGGCAUUGGCUCAACCAAUGUUCGCUUUGGAAACUGCAGGGCUUGAGUGCAGAAGGGGAGAGUGGAAUUCCAUGUGUAGCGGUGAAAUGCGUAGAUAUAUGGAGGAACACCGGUGGCGAAAGCGGCUCUCUGGUCUGUAACUGACGCUGAGGCUCGAAAGCGUGGGGAGCAAACAGGAUUAGAUACCCUGGUAGUCCACGCCGUAAACGAUGAGUACUAGGUGU